AGAGUUUGAUCCUGGCUCAGAAUGAACGUUGGCGGCGUGGAUUAGGCAUGCAAGUCGCACGAGAAACCAAUUAGCUUGCUAAGAGGUGGACAGUGGCGAAAGGGAGAGUAACGCGUGGUUACAUGCCCUCGAGACCGGGAUAGUGUUGGGAAACUGGCAGUAAUACCGGAUAACAUCUUCGGAUCAAAUGGUGUGAUUCCGCUCGAGGAUUGGACCGCGUACUAUUAGUUUGUUGGUGGGGUAAAGGCCUACCAAGGCUAAGAUGGUUAGCGGGUGUGAGAGCAUGGCCCGUCUCACUGGGACUGAGACACUGCCCAGACACCUACGGGUGGCUGCAGUCGAGAAUCUUCCGCAAUGGACGAAAGUCUGACGGAGCGACGCCGCGUGCGGGAUGAAGGCCUUCGGGUUGUAAACCGCUGUCGUAGGGGAGGAAAUUUUGACCGAUCCUAGGAGGAAGCACAGGCUAAGUUCGUGCCAGCAGCCGCGGUAAUACGAACUGUGCGAACGUUAUUCGGAAUCACUGGGCUUAAAGGGUGCGUAGGCGGCUAUGAAGGUCAGGUGUGAAAUCCCACGGCUCAACCGUGGAACUGCGCCUGAAACCACAUAGCUUGAGGAAGUCAGAGGUAAGCGGAACUGAUGGUGGAGCGGUGAAAUGCGUUGAUAUCAUCAGGAACACCGGUGGCGAAAGCGGCUUACUGGGACUUUUCUGACGCUGAGGUACGAAAGCCAGGGGAGCGAACGGGAUUAGAUACCCCGGUAGUCCUGGCUGUAAACGAUCUGUACUAGUCUGUGGGGACUUCCACAUCCUCUCGGACGUAGCGAAAGUGUUAAGUACAGCGCCUGGGGAGUAUGGUCGCAAGGCAA
rnacentral:rRNA from 1 species